GCCGACUUAGCUCAGUUGGGAGAGCGUUAGACUGAAGAUCUAAAGGUCCCUGGUUCAAAUCCGGAGAGCUCGCA
rnacentral:tRNA from 1 species